rnacentral:lncRNA from 1 species
CUUCUGAUGUUCGGAUGUGUUCGGAGUCUUCCUUCUGGUGGGUUCGCGGUCCGGCUGGCUCAGGAGCGAAGCUGCAGACCUUCACGGAACUUGUGAGUUAUGGCAAAAGAUAUUAUGACUCCCAUGCUGCGGAUGAAGAAGUUGAUGCCCGUGACAGGGCUCCAGGUUUCCACAGUGCUUUCAAGACCACACUUAAAACCGACUCUUGGGUUCCAAAUGGCUGGAGAGACUGAAUUAGGCUUACAGUUGAAAUGUAGAGGGAUGUGAUUUUAAUCUUUUGGGUACCAAGGGCUGUUAUUAUCAGUGAGUAAUAAUUAUGUUGAGAGUGUCUAAGCAAAAAAAGAGGAUAUAUGCAUGUAAGAGAGAGGAAUGAGUAAGAAAAAGCAUUCCUCUAUCAUUGUUAAUUCAUUAAGUGGAUAUAGCAGUGAUCUAAUUUUAUGUCAAACUAUGUGUAUAAUAUAUACUAAUAUAAUUAUGUUAAAAUUCAUGUUUUAGAAAAUCCUGAAAAAUCUGACACUUGUUUCAGAAACAGAUUUAUAUUUAUUUAUUUAUGUUUUCUUUUGAACCCUGG